rnacentral:lncRNA from 1 species
GAUAGUCUAAUACAUCUUUAUUAAUCUCCAAAUAUGUAUUUUUGGUCAAUAACAUUAUUUUAAUAACCAUUAAAGAUAAUCUAGUAUUAAAUGGUUAAUUUUGCUUCCCUUAGAUAAAGAUAACAGAAUUCAAAUACGAACUUGCCCCGUCUGGUUGAAGUGUAGUGAGAGCUGACUGUGUGAACUAAAUAAUGCUUGUCCUGUACAGAAUGGAGAAGAAAAGCAAAGUUUUGUUCACCUGGGAGCCCAUUUUUUAAAAAAUGCAUUGAUACCUAACUUAAAUAAUUGAAUACAUAUCAUAAACAUACAAAUUACACCAUUUAAAAUAUACUUACUACAAAAAGAUCCUGAAUAUUUUUGUUAAUGCAAAUAAAAUUUCUUCACAUUAUUUUAAGAGUCAAAAUAUUUUACAUCAAUUUGUGCUUUUAAAACUAUUGCUAGCUUCCCCUGGGAAAAGCCAAAAUAACUGUAUAUUGUAGAAAAAAGUUUUUGCACUUUUGACCCAAAUACACAUAUCAACACAAGAAGAGGCACAAUAACAUCUAAUAAUUGUUUUACAUUUCCCUGAAACAGACAAACAAAACCUAGUUAUUCAAUGAAAUACAUUUCUAUGGUAAUUGCUAAUUUGAUGUUUUCACACGUGCACAAAAGAACUACUUUUUCUUGGUCACUAACGACAGCAAACCCUAGAUGUCUAGGAAUAUAUAUAUGUGUCAUAUAUAUAUUUACAUACAUACAUAUUUAAGAGAGCAUAUGAAGAAAAUAGGACAGUUUGCACAUACAUAUUCAAAGCCUCUCAGAAAUUCCACUUAGGUCCACAUUAGUGAGCCUUAAUGUAUUGCCAGCGUUCUGUGUAAAUAACCAGAGAAGUAAAACAAACUUUAGUAGUGGAGUCCCUCCUUAUACAUUAAUAGAAAAUCUAGUUAUAAGUGGUAUGAUUCGCUCAUAAGAGGUCAGGCGUUCAAGACCAGUCUGGCCAAUAUGUUGAAAGCUCGUCUUUACUUAACAAAAAAUAUAAAAAUUAGCCAAGAGUGGUGGCACGUUCCUGUAAUCCCAGCUAUUUGGGAGGCUGAGGCACGAGAAUUGCUUGAACCUGGGAGGCAGAGGUUGCAGUGAGCUGAGAUUGCACUACUGUACUCCAGCCUGGGUGACACAUGGUCUCAAAAAAAAAAAAGAAGAAAGAAAGAAAAGAGAAAAAUGCUUAUCACUUAACCAAAUUUUUGCUAAGGAAAUGUAAAUAUAACUGUACCUUCUUCAGGGAAUUCAACGUCAGAGUACACUGGCUUAACUGCAGUGACUCACUCGUUUUUCAAUGCGGAGGUAAUAUUCAUAGAAAAAUCAAUAUUCCAUGUGGAGAAAAUGUAUUUUUCCUGUGGAUGAAUUACUGAUUAAUUGGGUUGGAGUAAACUUUACUUUCUGCAGCUCUAGUAUUUAUUUGUCAAAUGAAGAUCCAAUCUGGCAAUCAUCUCUUACAAAUGGUCCAUCAGAUUGGUCAGAUAGAUUAUUCUAUAGCUCCAAUCCCUCCCAGAUAAAGUCAUUGAUUAUCUGUAUAUACUCAAUUGGGGAAGACCCACAUCACAAGAGGACAGAGUAUGUGAUGUAACAGAAACGAUUCACACCGCUGUUAAUGUGUCAUAGACAGUGGGAUCCCUGGGGAAUUAAAAAUAGGACAAUUCAGCUAGAAUUUUCUCUUUGAUCAACUCCAGUUUCUGAUUGUGCUCUCAAGCUGAGCCCUUUCUAUUUGCAUUACAAUUUCAAUCCUUGGUUGGUGAGAGUUCUUUUUCAAUGUUUGUACUUCAGUUUUGUAGAUAACUGAGGUUGCAGAUAUGGAGUUUAUACUGUCAAAACAAUCAUCAAAUCAUCAAAAUAAUC